GUGGAAAAAAUCACUAACUUUUAACUCUAACUUAGCACUCUGAACAAAAACCAGCGGAGAACGGUCUGAGAUGAGAAGUGGCCGCUUGUGGCCUUUUAUUCACAAGUCCUCCUGGGUACAGCUCUGAAAAAAAUGCACAGAGACUAAGUGUCGCCAGGCAGGAGUUGUGAAUGAUGGAUGUCCUCUGCAGCGGAGACUCCAUGACCCAGGCCUUGGGGAGAAGGUGCGCACAUUCUGAGGAUUUUCCUCUUGGGGAAAGUUUUUGUAUGUUAUCAAAACACCUCCUUUUUUCGUAUGGCCUGGCCGGGUGUCUGCCCCCUAUGUAAAUGGCAGACCCCUUUGUAACCAAUCGGUGUACACUCAAUAAAUUAUAUUGGUGGAUGAGCUCACCAAGCUGCCACAAAAAUUAUUAAAUAAUCCCUAGUAGGCCUGUGUCACGUUCGCGCACAUGCAUGACAUCCUCCCCCAGCUUCUGCCUGGCCACCUGGCUGCACAUGAACUCUUCAUGAACUUUACUACAUAUAUCUCUCGGCUGCUGCCUGGAAACACAUGACAUCUUCAAAAAAAAUCUGGCACAUGAACUUUAGACUUUUUGAGAUAUUUACGAUAAAAGAGUUAAAAACUCUCAUAGAGUUAACGUUGAGACGCUUUGGCGGCAAAGAUGCAUUGUUACGUGAGUGCUAAUUAAGCUUUACAGCUGUGAAAAAAUUCCAACACUAGAAGCAAUCUAACGUUGAAGUAGAAUCUACCAUUCCACAGCUGCGGUAAACCUGAACGUUAACGUUUUGUCGCCUGCUGUACUCCAAGAUUUGCUCAUAAUUAAUCUUUCAGAGGGUUUCUGUAAUUACAGACAAGGUAAGUGUUCCAUUUUUUGGUAUUUGACUUAAUAUGUCGUCGAACAUUAUGUCAUGUAAGUUUGCAUUGUGUGAAAUUAGUGGUCGUUGAUAUGUGUUAUGUAGAAGCUAAGGAAACCCAUUGUCAAUUAACGUUAAACAUGUCGUCAAAUGUUAACGUUAACGUAACCGGUUAGCUGUAGGUAACAUUAUAAAUAGCUGCAGACAAUCAAACCUAAAGUUAACGUUAGCACUAUAUUAAGCUAACGGCAAUCAAACGUAACGUUAGUUCCCAGCUAACGAGAACGUUAGCACUAUUUGCUCAUUACUACCUAGCUCAUAGCAUUAACGUUAACGUUAACCAAAUAAAGUAUGGAUACUCUGGCUGAGGUUAAGUUACAGGCCUAGAAGCUAGAAAUGUUAUACUCGUUAACGUUAUUGAUAUUUGCUUGUUACUUAUAACGUUAGCCUCUAGAACUACCCCUCACAUUUUAACGUUAGUAAAGCCAUGCUCCUUUUUAUUUUACUAAACACCGCUGAAGUGUUUGUGCGACUCAAAUCUCGGUCGGCAUUUAGUAACGUUAGUGAUACCAAGGUAAAAGGACCAUUUUAGGCUCAUAGUUAGCGACUACGCUUUAAAACACACUUUACAGAAAUUAGAAGUAGCUGGUGUCAACAUACAGAACGCUUACUUGGCCUAGAAGCUACUCAUUUCUACAUCAUUCUGACCUAUACAUUACGUUGUAGCCUAGCAUGUGCAUAAAUCAAUGAGAAUAAUGCAAUUUAUGUAUCUAAACAUGUUUUGUUUUUUUGAACCUGCAACACAAAAAGGAAGUCAACUAGGGGAGUUUGAUGGAGAUAUAUUUUCAACCCUAUUCACCUGUAAUGCAUUAACAAUGCAGGUGUAUGUUAAUAAGCUCAUUCAGCCUGUUAAACAAAAUAUUCAGAAUCAAUAGCUCAAAAUUAAUAUUAUAUUGAAAUGGUCUGUUCACUGGCCUCGCCUCAAAUUUGCCAUCAGAAGAUCAUCUUUGAGAAUGUGGUCCCAGUUUGUAGCAGCCUUAGAAAUACUGCAUUGUUUGUGUGUCGUGUUUAAAAUAUAAUUGAAUGUUGCAUUGCAAUAUUACAACAGUUGUCACAAUUUCUCACAUAUUUCUUUUUCACAGCACAGAGUAAUAGUCUUUUUCAAGACUUUUUUCCAUUCAGGUCUUCCACAUCCACGUGGUUGUGUUGCAGACUUGAAGUUCAGCACAGAGUAAUAGUUUUUUUUAAGACUUUUCCAUUCACGUCUUCAUUGGUUGUGUUGCAGACUUGAAGUUCAGGCUUGUUCCAGACCAGACCAGUUUGGUGGCUGGGUGCCUGUCUGUGCACAACAAUCAUCAUCGCUCACAACAUAACCUACUAAUACCUACAAACAUAUCUGAGACAAUAUCUGAGCACAUACCUAUCUGAACAUAUCUGAGCACAUACUGAGACUUCUACUAAGAUUUAUCCUGAGAACUAUCUGAGCACAUACUGAGACUUCUACUAAGAUUUAUACUGAGAAUUCUACUGAGAUUUAUCCUGAGAACUAUACUGAGAUUUAUCCUGAGAACUAUCUGAGCACAUACUGAGACUUUCUACUAAGAUUUAUACUGAGAUUUAUCCUGAGAACUAUACUGAGAUUUAUCCUGAGAACUAUCUGAGCACAUACUGAGACUUAUUCUGAGAACCAUACCUGUGAAUCAUAUCUGAACAUAUCUGAGCACAUACUGAGACUUCUACUAAGAUUUAUGCUGAGAAUUCUACUGAGAUUUAUCCUGAGAACUAUACUGAGACUUCUUCUGAGAACCAUACCUGUGAAUCAUAUCUGUCAGCCAUUCAUACCUUUGAAUCGUACCUGUGUUGUGAAAUCUGUGAAACUUAGCUGUGCUGUUAGACCUCUGCUUUUAGACCUGAACUGUGCAAAGAUUGAGAUUCUAACCUUGAUUUUGUCUAAAACUGACCACCUGAAGGGCUGACUCUUAUUCUUCAGUCUACAUCACCAUCAAAUACCAUUAACUGAGACCUCUGUUUCUCUGUUGACCAUCUGAUCUCUCCCUGACCAUUAAAUUAUUCUGUAGCUU